UACGUAGGGGGCAAGCGUUGUCCGGAUUAUUGGGCGUAAAGAGCGUGUAGGCGGUUCGGUAGGUCCGUUGUGAAAACUCGAGGCUCAACCUCGAGACGCCGAUGGAAACCAUCGAACUAGAGUCCGGAAGAGGAGAGUGGAAUUCCUGGUGUAGCGGUGAAAUGCGCAGAUAUCAGGAAGAACACCCGUGGCUAAGGCGGCUCUCUAGUACGGUACUGACGCUGAGACGCGAAAGCGUGGGGAGCGAACAGGG
rnacentral:rRNA from 1 species